rnacentral:tRNA from 2 species
GUCGCUGUAGCACAACGGUCAGUGCAACGGUUUCUCGAACCGGAGAUCGGGGUUCGAUUCCCCGCAGCGAUACCA